rnacentral:rRNA from 1 species
GCUUAACACAUGCAAGUCGAACGGCAGCACGGGAGCUUGCUCCUGGUGGCGAGUGGCGAACGGGUGAGUAAUGUAUCGGAACGUGCCCAGUCGUGGGGGAUAACUAUCCGAAAGGAUAGCUAAUACCGCAUACGUCCUGAGGGAGAAAGCGGGGGACCUAAGGGUAACUGAGGGCCUCGCGCGAUUGGAGCGGCCGAUAUCGGAUUAGCUAGUUGGUGGGGUAAAGGCUCACCAAGGCGACGAUCCGUAGCGGGUCUGAGAGGACGACCCGCCACACUGGAACUGAGACACGGUCCAGACUCCUACGGGAGGCAGCAGUGGGGAAUUUUGGACAAUGGGGGCAACCCUGAUCCAGCCAUUCCGCGUGAGUGAAGAAGGCCUUCGGGUUGUAAAGCUCUUUCAGCAGGAACGAAACGGUCGGCUUUAAUAAAGUUGGCUAAUGACGGUACCUGCAGAAGAAGCACCGGCUAACUACGUGCCAGCAGCCGCGGUAAUAC